rnacentral:rRNA from 1 species
ACUUACUUGGAUAACUGUGGUAAUUCUAGAGCUAAUACAUGCAAAUAGAGCUCCUACCGGAGACGGACGGAGCGCUUUUAUUAGAUCAAAACCAAUCGGCGGAAGCCGUACAACUUGGUGACUCUGAAUAACUUGUUGCUGAUCGCACGGUCUAGAACCGGCGACGCAUCUUUCAAAUGUCUGCCUUAUCAACUGUCGAUGGUAGGUUCUGCGCCUACCAUGGUUGUAACGGGUAACGGGGAAUCAGGGUUCGAUUCCGGAGAGGGAGCCUGAGAAACGGCUACCACAUCCAAGGAAGGCAGCAGGCGCGCAAAUUACCCACUCCCGGCACGGGGAGGUAGUGACGAAAAAUAACGAUACGGGACUCAUCCGAGGCCCCGUAAUCGGAAUGAGUACACUCUAAACCCUUUAACGAGGAUCAAUUGGAGGGCCAGUCUGGUGCCAGCAGCCGCGGUAAUUCCAGCUCCAAUAGCGUAU